rnacentral:rRNA from 1 species
ACGGAAGGCAGCAGUGAGGAAUAUUGGUCAAUGGGCGGAAGCCUGAACCAGCCAAGUCGCGUGAAGGAUGAAGGUAUUAUGUAUUGUAAACUUCUUUAGCAGCAGAGUAAUAAGGGGGUCGUGACCCCCGAUGCAAGUAUGCUGAAAAUAAGGAUCGGCUAACUCCGUGCCAGCAGCCGCGGUAAUACGGAGGAUCCGAGCGUUAUCCGGAUUUAUUGGGUUUAAAGGGUGCGCAGGCGGUUUUUUAAGUCAGUGGUUAAAUCGUGAGGCUCAACCUCAUCACGCCAUUGAUACUGGAAGACUCGAUUGCGGUUGAGGUUGGCGGAAUUCGUCGUGUAGCGGUGAAAUGCAUAGAUAUGACGAAGAACACCGAUUGCGUAGGCAGCUGACCAAGCCGUAAAUGACGCUCAUGCACGAAAGUGCGGGGAUCGAACAGGAUUAGAUACCCUGGUA